CAGAUGAUGGAUCAGGGUACAAAGCUGCUCUGCUGUCGGGACCUCCAGGUGUGGGGAAGACCACCACAGCUGCCCUGGUCUGUGAGCUCAGCUGAUUUUCCAUUGUUGAUAAAGGGAGGGAAGCUGAAAGACCUGGAUGAGAUCACAGGCUUAAGAGCUACACAGGAUUCAUUGAAGGCUUGAGACUCCUGCACUGAGACAGCAC